rnacentral:tRNA from 1 species
GGGCCCUUGGUCUAGUGGUAUGACGCUCGGUUGGCAAUCGGGAGAUCCCGGGUUCAAUUCCCGGAGGGUCCA